AGUGAACGCUGGCGGUAGGCCUAACACAUGCAAGUCGAACGGCAGCACAGUAAGAGCUUGCUCUUACGGGUGGCGAGUGGCGGACGGGUGAGGAAUACAUCGGAAUCUACUUUUUCGUGGGGGAUAACGUAGGGAAACUUACGCUAAUACCGCAUGCGACCUACGGGUGAAAGCAGGGGAUCUUCGGACCUUGCGCGAUUGAAUGAGCCGAUGUCGGAUUAGCUAGUUGGCGGGGUAAAGGCCCACCAAGGCGACGAUCCGUAGCUGGUCUGAGAGGAUGAUCAGCCACACUGGAACUGAGACACGGUCCAGACUCCUACGGGAGGCAGCAGUGGGGAAUAUUGGACAAUGGGCGCAAGCCUGAUCCAGCCAUACCGCGUGAGUGAAGAAGGCCUUCGGGCUGUAAAGCCCUUUUGUUGGGAAAGAAAAGCAGCAGGUUAAUACCCCGCUGUUCUGACGGUACCCAAAGAAUAAGCACCGGCUAACUUCGUG
rnacentral:rRNA from 1 species